UACGAAGGGGGCUAGCGUUGCUCGGAAUCACUGGGCGUAAAGCGCACGUAGGCGGAUUGUUAAGUCAGGGGUGAAAUCCUGGAGCUCAACUCCAGAACUGCCUUUGAUACUGGCGAUCUUGAGUCCGGGAGAGGUGAGUGGAACUGCGAGUGUAGAGGUGAAAAUUCGUAGAUAUUCGCAAGAACACCAGUGGCGAAGGCGGCUCACUGGCCCGGUACUGACGCUGAGGUGCGAAAGCGUGGGGAGCAAACAGGGAUUAAGAA
rnacentral:rRNA from 1 species